AGCUUUGCGCAGUGGCAGUAUCGUAGCCAAUGAUGUUUAUUGGAGGCGCGAUUACUGCUAAUUGAAAACUUUUCCCAAUACCCUGCCAUGACAAUUUGAAAUAGUUAGCAUUGGCAAUUUUUGACAGUCUCUACAGAGA
ensembl:snRNA U4 U4 spliceosomal RNA